GUGCUUGCUUUGGCAGCACAUGUACUAAAAAUGGAACAAUACAGAGAAGAUUAGCAUGGCCCUGUGUGCAAAGAUGACAUGUAAAUUUGUGAAGCGUUCCAUAUUUUU
rnacentral:snRNA from 1 species